GAUGAACGCUGGCGGCGUGCCUAACACAUGCAAGUCGAGCGAACAGACGAGGAGCUUGCUCCUCUGACGUUAGCGGCGGACGGGUGAGUAACACGUGGAUACCCUACCUAUAAGACUGGGAUAACUUCGGGAAACCGGAGCUAAUACCGGAUAAUAUAUUGAACCGCAUGGUUCAAUAGUGAAAGACGGUUUUGCUGUAAUUUAUAGAUGGAUCCGCGCCGCAUUGGCUAGUUGGUAAGGUAACGGCUUACCAAGGCCACGAUGCGUAGCCGACCUGAGAGGGUGAUCGGCCACACUGGAACUGAGACACGGUCCAGACUCCUACGGGAGGCAGCAGUAGGGAAUCUUCCGCAAUGGGCGAAAGCUUGACGGAGCAACGCCGCGUGAGUGAUGAAAGUCUUCGGAUCGUAAAACUCUGUUAUUAGGGAAGAACAAAUGUGUAAGUAACUAUGCACGUCUUGACGGUACCUAAUCAAGAAGCCACGGCUAACUACGUG
rnacentral:rRNA from 1 species